GAUGAAGAACGCAGCGAAAUGCGAUAAGUAAUGUGAAUUGCAGAAUCCAGUGAAUCAUCGAAUCUUUGAACGCACAUUGCGCCCGCCAGCAUUCUGGCGGGCAUGCCUGUUCGAGCGUCAUUUCAACCCUCGACCUCCCUUUGGGGAAGUCGGCGUUGGGGACCGGCAGCACACCGCCGGCCCUGAAAUGGAGUGGCGGCCCGUCCGCGGCGACCUCUGCGUAGUAAUCCAACUCGCACCGGAACCCCGACGCGGCCACGCCGUAAAACACCCAACUUCUGAACGUUGACCUCGGAUCAGGUAGGGAUACCCGCUGAACUUAAGCAUAUCAAUAAGCGGAGGA
rnacentral:misc_RNA from 1 species